rnacentral:lncRNA from 1 species
UUGAUGCUUGUCUCUAACUAUUUGAUAACCAUGUUUGAUUAGAGUAAGUUGCUCACUUAUAAUGGUUAAUGAAGAUAGAACCUAUUCCGAAAACUUGAAAGUAAGGAUCAACCUUAGUUGCUUUUGGCAAAAACAAACCCACAACCAAAAAGCCUUGCAUGUCGUGGAGUAGACACCACCUGACGGGUAAGUCUUGUUGAGUAUUAGUAUACUCAGCCUUGCAUGUGGCUCUCUUUUUCAGGUGUUGUUGUUGACUUGGUU